AAUAGACCACUGCCUCCUGCAAACUUACCUUCCCUGCUCGGUCUCAGCAAUCAAGUACUCGAAAGUAGUGGCCACGCUGAGGGGGCUGUUAUGAAGGGAGUUCCAGAAUUGUGCCCCAGGAACAGGGAAGGACCAAUGACAUUGUUUCAAAAUCAGGAGGAUGUGUGACCUAGACCAGCUUGUGGUGUCCCUUUGCAUCUGCUGCCCUUGUCUUUCCAAUUAAUAAAAGGUUGUGGGUUUGGAAUGCAAUCCAAAAGGCACCCUGGCAAGAAGUUUCCAGAAGUGUGGGUCACUAAAACUGACUUUUGAAGAAAGCAGCUGAAGAUUAAAGUCAAGAAGAUAAUUAAGAUAAUCAUGAAUUUUCAGGAUGACAGACUGGAGUGUGGUAAGUGAAGGAAAAGGCCUUUGGUGGGAGCAAGCCCUGGACAAGCCAGACACAGCUCCAGCCCAGUCUGGGGUCUACUGGCGAGCAAGGAACCAGUCUCCCAGCCCAGACACAGGCUGGGCUGACACUCCAGGUCCACAGCUAGGCCGAAGUGUCUGAAGGAGGCAAAAGGAGGUUUCGGCCCCGUGUGGUGAACUCCGUCUGGCAUGGCAGUCUUCGGCAGAAGCAUCUGGCUCAGUAUUCCAGCAGUCCAGUGUGACAGUCUCAUGGCGGCUGGGUGUUCAGGGCUUCUUAACCAGCUUUCCUAGAGCCCAGGAGCCACUAACUGAACUGAGAUGAACUUUGUCUUGUUACUUUUUUUAAAGUAUUAUGAAUGAUUUCUGUCCUUGAUGCAGCUACCACGGUUGAGUGACUAAAACCUUUUGCUGUAUUUUUCUUGCAAAAGUACAUGUAAUAAUAAAUUUCUAUUCUAUUCAAUCCAA